UACGGGGGGAGCAAGCGUUGUUCGGAUUUACUGGGCGUAAAGGGCGCGUAGGCGGCCACUGCAAGUCAGUUGUGAAAUCUCCGGGCUUAACCCGGAAAGGUCAACUGAUACUGCAGGGCUAGAGUGCAGAAGGGGCAACUGGAAUUCUCGGUGUAGCGGUGAAAUGCGUAGAUAUCGAGAGGAACACCUGCGGCGAAGGCGGGUUGCUGGGCUGACACUGACACUCAGAUCCGAAAGUGUGGGGAUCAAACAGG
rnacentral:rRNA from 1 species